GUACUUGCUUUGGCAACACAUAUACUAAAAUUGGAAUGAUACAGAGUAGAUCAGCAUGGCCCCUGCGCAAGGAUGACAUGCAAAUUCAUGAAGCAUUCCAUAUCAAA
ensembl:snRNA U6 U6 spliceosomal RNA